rnacentral:rRNA from 1 species
UUUAUGGAGAGUUUGAUCCUGGCUCAGGAUGAACGCUGGCGGCGUGCCUAAUACAUGCAAGUCGAGCGAACGGACGAGAAGCUUGCUUCUCUGAUGUUAGCGGCGGACGGGUGAGUAACACGUGGAUAACCUACCUAUAAGACUGGGAUAACUUCGGGAAACCGGAGCUAAUACCGGAUAAUAUUUUGAACCGCAUGGUUCAAAAGUGAAAGACGGUCUUGCUGUCACUUAUAGAUGGAUCCGCGCUGCAUUAGCUAGUUGGUAAGGUAACGGCUUACCAAGGCAACGAUGCAUAGCCGACCUGAGAGGGUGAUCGGCCACACUGGAACUGAGACACGGUCCAGACUCCUACGGGAGGCAGCAGUAGGGAAUCUUCCGCAAUGGGCGAAAGCCUGACGGAGCAACGCCGCGUGAGUGAUGAAGGUCUUCGGAUCGUAAAACUCUGUUAUUAGGGAAGAACAUAUGUGUAAGUAACUGUGCACAUCUUGACGGUACCUAAUCAGAAAGCCACGGCUAACUACGUGCCAGCAGCCGCGGUAAUACGUAGGUGGCAAGCGUUAUCCGGAAUUAUUGGGCGUAAAGCGCGCGUAGGCGGUUUUUUUAAGUCUGAUGUGAAAGCCCACGGCUCAACCGUGGAGGGUCAUUGGAAACUGGAAAACUUGAGUGCAGAAGAGGAAAGUGGAAUUCCAUGUGUAGCGGUGAAAUGCGCAGAGAUAUGGAGGAACACCAGUGGCGAAGGCGACUUUCUGGUCUGUAACUGACGCUGAUGUGCGAAAGCGUGGGGAUCAAACAGGAUUAGAUACCCUGGUAGUCCACGCCGUAAACGAUGAGUGCUAAGUGUUAGGGGGUUUCCGCCCCUUAGUGCUGCAGCUAACGCAUUAAGCACUCCGCCUGGGGAGUACGACCGCAAGGUUGAAACUCAAAGGAAUUGACGGGGACCCGCACAAGCGGUGGAGCAUGUGGUUUAAUUCGAAGCAACGCGAAGAACCUUACCAAAUCUUGACAUCCUUUGACAACUCUAGAGAUAGAGCUUUCCCCUUCGGGGGACAAAGUGACAGGUGGUGCAUGGUUGUCGUCAGCUCGUGUCGUGAGAUGUUGGGUUAAGUCCCGCAACGAGCGCAACCCUUAAGCUUAGUUGCCAUCAUUAAGUUGGGCACUCUAAGUUGACUGCCGGUGACAAACCGGAGGAAGGUGGGGAUGACGUCAAAUCAUCAUGCCCCUUAUGAUUUGGGCUACACACGUGCUACAAUGGACAAUACAAAGGGCAGCGAAACCGCGAGGUCAAGCAAAUCCCAUAAAGUUGUUCUCAGUUCGGAUUGUAGUCUGCAACUCGACUACAUGAAGCUGGAAUCGCUAGUAAUCGUAGAUCAGCAUGCUACGGUGAAUACGUUCCCGGGUCUUGUACACACCGCCCGUCACACCACGAGAGUUUGUAACACCCGAAGCCGGUGGAGUAACCUUUUAGGAGCUAGCCGUCGAAGGUGGGACAAAUGAUUGGGGUGAAGUCGUAACAAGGUAGCCGUAUCGGAAGGUGCGGCUGGAUCACCUCCUUUCU